AUUGAACGCUGGCGGCAUGCUUUACACAUGCAAGUCGAACGGCAGCGCGGGCUUCGGCCUGGCGGCGAGUGGCGCACGGGUGAGUAAUACAUCGGAACGUGCCCAGUAGUGGGGGAUAGCUCGGCGAAAGCCGGAUUAAUACCGCAUACGACCUGAGGGUGAAAGCGGGGGAUCUUCGGACCUCGCGCUCUUGGAGCGGCCGAUGGCAGAUUAGCUAGUUGGUGGGGUAAAGGCCUACCAAGGCGACGAUCUGUAGCUGGUCUGAGAGGACGACCAGCCACACUGGGACUGAGACACGGCCCAGACUCCUACGGGAGGCAGCAGUGGGGAAUUUUGGACAAUGGGCGAAAGCCUGAUCCAGCAAUGCCGCGUGUGUGAUGAAGGCCUUCGGGUUGUAAAGCACUUUUGGCGGGAACGAAAAGGACUGUGCCAAUACCACGGUUCGAUGACGGUACCCGCAGAAUAAGCACCGGCUAACUACGUG
rnacentral:rRNA from 1 species